rnacentral:lncRNA from 1 species
ACAAAGUAACAUUGCUUAAUUAGCUCAUGUAUAUAUAAUCCGUUGCCUAGAAUUUAGCUAAUGAAGAUUGCUUUGUGUGAUUUACAUUCGUCCUUAACUUUUAUGAUUGUGUUUAAAUUUUGAAGUCAUUGUUUUUUUGCAACCUAUGUCGAUCUGUUCACUAUAAGAUAUAGCUAAAAUCUAUAUGCAGAUUUCUGGCGCCACAUAUUUUCCAAUUGAUUGUCACAGGUUUGUCAAACUUGCGGCUAUGUUCUGUUUACUAAAUUAGUUGUGACAUGGCGCCAGUGAAAAGAAUAAAGUACAUGCAAUUCCGCAAGACAAAUAUCAGCACGCACUACAUGAUUGUGAAUAUAUCUAUCUUCUAAGGACCCAAAGCACUUGCAUGUGCAAACCAGUGUCAGCGGAUAUGCAGUACAUUAGGUUUGUGAUUAGCCACUUUAAGAACAUGGGCUUUCUAGAGACUAUAAACCUACGGUUAUCAGCACUAUUAUCCUGAAUGGAUAUCAAAUAUCCGUUGAAGAAUCUAUAUCCGUAUCAAAAAAAUAGAAAAAGGAAGAAUUAAUAGAGGAGUUAAUGAGGUCAGCUAGGACCAGCCUGACUAGCUUAACAUAAUGAUAACCGUAAUUUGUUGCUUCUUUCCUGCUUUGGUAGCAAUUUGCAUGAAGAAUUGAGGCGCAGACCCACUCAAUAUGUGGUCCUACCAAUCACGAGGAAAUAACUUGUUACCAAAACAGAAAAGAAAAUAGGAAAUGCCCAACAUUGUUUCGAUAUCUAUCCUCUUGCCAACAUGCUAUUGGCAGUGGCAAAACAUUGUAUCUUCCCACUCGCAACAGCUGCCUUGACUCGGCCUCAUCAUCUCAUCAAGGAAUUCAUAAUUUUUCCUCUUGGUUGUUAAAUCUUGCUAUUUUUUGUUUGCAUCCUAUGGCAAUGUUUUUUCCUUAUAUAGUGAUCAAAUCUAUAUCUAUCUACUAAUAAAAGAAAUAGAUAUUAUUAAUACGUCAUGCGUGUUUACAAAAAUAACCCUACCUUUCCAUAGUGUGGACCCGCAAUCCAGAAGAAAACAAUUUUAUUGUUGGGCAGGGAAAUAAUGACUCAUACGUGGCAAAAAAAAUUAUAGUCGAACUCCCAACCUCACAAAACAAUCCAGCCACAAGGGCCAGCUUAGUCUACUUCAUUAUUGCUCUAAGUGUGCAAAGCUUUAGUUGGUAAAAAAAAUUGUACGUUUAUGAAUGUGCUUGUUAUUUAUAAGUUGGAGAAGUAAAACCUUAUUCGACUAUGCAUACAGAUAUUGUUGUACGACACUACAAUAUCAUAAAAAAGAGUUAAAUACACUGUGAGUGCCUAAACUUGUUCUGUGCGAUCAGUUUAGUGCUUAAACUUGCAAAAUACACAAAAAUGAUGUCACAACUUGUCCCGUGGUUCAAAUACAGUGCCUCGAGACAUAUUCCGCGGUAUGCACCGUCCGCGUGGCACGUCAGCGUGUCACCGGCCCAUAUGUCAGUGGCUCGGGGCGACGGAGAGGCUGGGUGAGGUGCACAGCCUGGUUUUUAAGCAGAAACCCCCCUGGGCUUUAAUUAAUUCUCUCAAAAAAUUGCUGGUUCAUUUGCAAAUUAACUGAAGAUAACUGAAGGUUGGCCGCCCUGCGCUGGCUUGUGCAAUGGACAGAGAAGCCGUGAGCACGGCCUGGUCCAGCUGCCGCUGCUCGUCGUGCCUCCUCUGCCUGCGCCGCGGCGAGCACAAAUUUAUUACAGAAACAAAUGAGCAUACAAAUUCGAUAGGCGACAUGGAUUUGACAGAAACAAAUGAACAUAUAAAUUUAGCUACAGAUAUUAUGAAAAUAUUCAGACUUUGCUUAAAGACUAGCUUGACAUUGCGUACUGAACAAAGCUAAAAUGUUCAUAUUACUUAAUACAGUACAUAGCAUCUGAACCAUACCAAAAUACCAUUUGAAACCAAUUUUUGUCUCUGAACCCCAACAAAAGGAGCAGUUCAUUUAUGAACUUAACUAAGAUGCUUGACAAGUUCAUUCAUGAACUAAAACACACAUGACUUAAACUAAAAGUGAGAAAAAAUCAUGAAGAUAAUUUGGUGCAUUCUGGCUAACAAGAACUUCCUCCUCUGCUUGCAUGAACUGUGGUGCUUGAUGCACACUCCCUCCAUCAUUUUCAAAUAGCAGAUUGGAGAAGCCAGGGGCAGCAGCUCUAGCUCCUCUUGGAGCAUUUAUCCCUCCUCUUGCAGCAUUUGUUCCUCCUCUUCCAGCACUCCUCCCUCCUCUUGGAGCUCUAGUCCCUCCUCUAGCCUGCCUUUUCCUGGCUCUUGUUGCAACUCCAUGUUCACUAGAUUCUGCUGCUGCAUCUGCAUUUCUUCUGACCCUGCCCCUUGCCAUUGCUGUUGUCACUCUUGCUACUGGGAUUGAGUCUCUUGCAUUUGCAAUGAAGGUAGAUUCUGGAAGAGGAUAAAAGUCUCUAACUGUUGGGUAUGUGAACUUCUCCUGGCACAUGCAUUGUAUGUGAGAACAUUGCAAGAAAUUAGGCAGCAAUAAAUAAAUAUGUGGAAUUUGAGAAGUUACCUUUUCCUGCAUCUUGUAUACCAUACAAUCUGGCCUUUGUGUUGGGUCCAAUUGAGGAAUUACUCUGUGUGGCAUAAUGUUCUGCAAGCAAUCAUAGCAAGGUCAAAAAAAUUAGGUACAAAGGUAACUAAGUACAAGAGAAAAUGAUCUUACAACAAUGAUGCUUGGAUCAGCAUAAUCUUCUUCCUCCUCUGCUGGUACUGGUCUUGGUUUUCUGCUUAAAAAACAGGCUGUGCGCCUCACCCAGCCCCUCCGUCGCCCCGAGCCACUGACAUAUGGGCCGGUGACACGCUGGCGUGCCACGUGGGCGGUGCAUACCGCGGAAUACGUCUGGAGGCACUGUAUUUGAACCACGGGACAAGUUGCGGCACCACUUCUGUGUAUUUUGCAAGUUUAGGCACUAAACUGACCGCAUAGGACAAGUUUAGGCACUCACAGUGUAUUUAACUCCAUAAAAAAAUCGAUCGUCGUUGGAAAAUUUUGCACAUCAAACUUUCAGGCUGUGUUUUGCUAUUUGCAAAACUGUUUCAAUGUUAAAUUAUUGGUCAUGUUGUUAUUACAUUGACAGCAUGAUCCAUGCUUAUUAGGUUAGGGCAUGUGGUAUUUUUCUCACGUUAAAAUGCAUGGAUAUGUUUGCAAUAUUUACUCUAUAUGUAUAUGUGUGUAACGGUGCAACAUAUGGGCAUAUUUGUCAUAGAAGUAAAGUGCAAGACAUGCCCAGUUAGAUUAUUGACACCACUGGGUGGGGGUGCUAUAGUACAUGUACUACAGCACAUGUCUGAACCAGGCGGUUUCUUGUUACAAUAUGAGCUGGACAAGGAGGCCUUGAACCAUUAGAAGUGUGUGAUUUUUAUUUAUUUUUCAGUUGCAACGCAAGGGCAUGUUUACCAGUUGUAUAUAAAAGCAACUCUAACGCAUCGACGCGGUUUCUGUCCGUUUUUUUGUAUGUUUGGGUCGACCAAGCAAACGGACGUGUCCGGUUUUGCCUUUGGGUCCGUGGGUGUGCCCAACGCAGCCGACGCAUUAGUCCACAGGGGCAUUUUAAAAACUCAAAGAGUUUAAAAUAAUUAAACAUUAAUAACAAUGCAUAUUAAAGCAUGCCAAAGUCCAUAAAAUCAAAUAUAAAAUAUUAAUAUAUUAAUAUAACAAACAGCCGCCCCAGCCCACAGCCCUAGGCGUCAUCCUCGUCAUCGGAGAGGGUGAGGUCAAAGAAUGGUGGCGGCUCAGCCCAUGGGAAGUCCUUUUGGUAUGCCGCUAGCGUCACGUGCUCCACCAUGUCUUGUUGCGGUGGAUCUGCCUAGCGUUGCGUGCAUUUCCUCCUCGCGCUCCUGCCGCUCCUCCUCCUCCCCGCGCACUCAACAAAGUCGGCGCUCCUCCUCCUCGGGCUCCUGCUACAUGCGGGCCUGGCCGUUGUCCCAUUCCUCCUUCGAUGCGUGGUCCUUUCAUGCCGUGAGGUACGUCGCCUCCUUCUCCUUCGUUGUGCUCGACCAAACAGGCGGCGCUCUCACCCACUCUCGGACGACGCCCUGCCACUAGUAGAUGCUGGUGGGCGCGGGUGGUGCCGGCACGGAUGCUGGCGGUGACGAUGGGGCCGGUGGUAGUGGCGGGUAGACCUGCAGUUGGCGACCGACAGCUACAACGUGUCCUCGAGGCAAGGCCUCGAGGAGUCCUCCCACUGGAACUCCUCAAUGGCACGUCCGGUCGCCUCCUCCAACGCCUUGAGGAAUGCCUCCUCCUCCUCCUCACCCUACUGCUUGACCACCAGCGACGUCGGUGGAGCCGUGGAGGGCGGGCGUCGAGCUGGACGAUGGCGCACAUCAUGCUUGGUGGCGAACCAGAUGUCCUAGUUAGGGGAGUUAGUUAAGGGAGUCUGGCGUGUAGGCGGGGAUGCGGCGCUGCUCCAGCGUGAGGAGAGCACGCUGGGCCCAAAUCUUGUUGGCAUGCGCACUCAGACUAGCACGACCGGCACCGGAAUGCUGUGGGGUCGAGGUGCCAGCCGUGGGGAUGGUUCACGUCCGUCCAUGACAGUGGGACACGGUAUUUCCAAUGGUACUGUGAGUGGUGCACUGGGUUCUACUGGCGGUCCCCUGGCGCUGCCGCCCUCCCGUCCCGUGGCGCCGACACCAAUGCGAACCCCUUUGUCGGCGGCCUCACCGGCCCUUGUGAUGAGCCGGCCUCAUGGCGUUGCUUGCCCUUGGCUUUGCCAAAAAAGCCCAUGAUGGCUAGGGUUUUCUGUCGCCGACGAGGGAGCAGAUGUGGACUAGAGUGGAAGGAGAAAUGGAUGAGGACUGCCCCAUCGAACGCUUGCAAGUAAGAAAGACGGGUUUGGACGCUUCUAAUCGCUGUCAUGCGUGCCCGAGGUAGGUCGGCAGCAUUGUCUAUGACCGAGGUGGUAGUUGGCUGGACGACACGCGGGCUCUAAGCGGACGUGCAGCACAUCCGUCUUGUGUCCAUGUGGACGCAAAUCAGGCGUAAAUUUGGGCUGGAAAUGCGUCCACACUAACACCGAGUGAACGUGAUUUGGAUUUGCGUCAGCGCAUUGGCCGGCGUUGUUGUCCGUUUCAACUCAAACGGACACGAGUGGACCAAAUGGUCGGCACAUUGGAGAUGCUUGUACCUAGUACUCUUUGUGGACUUGUUAUCUUUGAGUUUCCUUCCCAUUUGUAGCUGUGUAUUAUUGUGAGAUGCUCUCAGGAUUUCACUUAUCGUACAAGUAUGUUUUAGAUAAUGACAUAUUUAUCGAUGUUAGACAAUUACAUCGAGGUGUAUUAUAUCUAGGAUGCACACAUAUGUGACAUUGUUUCAGGAUUUUACGUUACUUGAUAGGUAUUACUAUAAAUAUCUAAUGAGCUCUAAUGCGUAUGUCCAUAAAUCUGUGUUGCAGGUACUUUAUCAUAAUUGAUGAUAUAUGGGAGUUAGGAACAUGGGAAACGUUGAAAUGUGUAUUUGUCAAGAAUACAUUGGGCAGCAGAAUACUUAUCACAACACGUAUAGUUGAUGUUGCCAAAUCUUGUUCUCCUUCUAGUGAAGAUCUUGUCUAUGAGAUGAAACCACUCUGUGAGGCUGACUCAAAGAAAUUGUUUUUCAAGAGGAUAUUUGGUUGUGAAGAAAGCUGUCCUGAUAUCUUGAAAGAAGCUGCCAAUGAAAUUUUGAAGAAAUGUCGUGGUCUACCUCUGGCCAUCAAUGCCAUUUCUAGCUUGUUGGCCACAACAAGGGAAACAAUAGAAGAGUGGGAUCGGGUGCGACAUUCAAUACGCUCUUCAAAGGCCAAAAGUGAUAUAAUAGAGACCAUGAAUUACAUAUUAUCUCUUAGUUAUUUUGAUCUUCCCCACCACCUAAGAAGUUGCUUAUUGUAUCUGGCUCUGUUUCCUGAAGACGAAAUAAUUGAAAGGCAACGGUUGGUACGCAGAUGGAUUUCUGAAGGCUUUAUCCAUGGAGAAAGUGGACAAGAUGUCAUGGAAUUAGGAGAGGAAUAUUUUCAUCAGCUUGUGAACAGAAGUCUAAUACAGCCCGAAAACAUAGGGUAUGACGGCAAGGCAGAUUAUUGCCGAGUCCAUGACACCAUCCUUGAUUUCCUAAUUGACAAAUCCUCCCAAGAGAACAUGUGUACAGUCCUAAAGAAACAAUGCAAGCCUAAUGGUAUAGUUCGUCGGCUCUCUCUAAAGGGAAUUGAGGAUGAAGAAAUCGUGGAGCAAUUGGAUUUGUCACACGCUCGGUCAAUCAGUGCUUUUGGGGAUAUCAAGCUAUUGCCUUCGCUUGGGAGGUCAAAAUGCUUGCGCGUGCUAGACUUGCAACACUGCAAUCAGUUGGAAAAUCAUCAUAUCAAGGAUAUUGAAAGACUCUAUCAGCUGAGAUACUUGGAUAUCUCUGGUACAGGAAUCACGGAGCUUCCCAGGCAAAUUGGGGAGUUACUGUAUCUAGAGACGCUAGUUACAUCCUAUAAAUUACGUGAGCUUCCUGAAAGCACAACUCGGCUACAACGACUGGCACGUUUGCUUGUUGACUGCUAUUGUAAGCUUCCAGAUGGGUUGGGAAACUUGAUAAAGUUGGAAGAGCUUGAUUGCGUUGAUGCCUUGCAGUGGAAGCUUGUGGAAGAGCUCGGCAAACUAACAAAUCUGAGAAAGCUGAGGAUUAAAUUGGACACUGAUGGGAUAGAAGGCGACAAAUUAGAACAGUCCAAGGAAAAGCUGGUGUCCUCUCUCUGUAAACUGGACGAAUGCGGCCUCCGUUCCCUGAGUAUUGAUUAUGUACUGGGAAAAAAGGAUGGAGAAGAGCCGUUCCUCCCUGCUUUGGGUUGUAUCCAGGAGGUUUGUGUAUAUGGAGAAGAUAUCAGCCGGAUUAGCAGAUGGCUCGCGUCACUUCCCAACCUACACAUGUUAUUUUUUCAGGGUCCGAAGAUAGAGCAGCAGGAUAUUGAGAUGAUUGGAUUGAUACCCAAUCUGAUCGAAUUGUCACUGUAUUUUAUAAGGGACGCUUGGCGGCUCAUUAUCAGUCGUGAAGGGUUUCAACAGUUGCAGAGUUUUGAGGUUCACAAUGCUCGUAUGGGAGUUUUAAUGUUUGAACCGGGGGCUAUGCCGAGGCUCAAGGAGCUUACACUUUAUGGCUUCAAAAGACCCAAAUCUGCUGCGGUCGAUUUCGACUUUGGCAUCCAGCGCCUCUCCAACCUUGCUCGCCUCAUUGUCAGCAUAGACUGCUUUGGCUGGACGGAGGCACAAGUAAAGGCUGCGGAGGAUGCUUUCAUGAGCAUGGCCGAGGCAAACCCCAACCGUCCAAUACUGGAGAUGAGAAGGAUUAAUACGCAGCAUAUGUUACGUGAUGAGCAAAUAGAUACGACAGGCUCAGGUACUACUAACAAGUUUGUACUUUUGUCUUCGUGAGCAGUAGAUCAAAAGAUGUACAUAUAUAUGACUCAUUCUUUUUCCGGUAAUCUAUUUCAGCUACAACGCAAGCCGUGUAGCCCUAGAUGCCUAAACCGAGAUGCACCUUUGGUUAUGGAGUCCAAGUCACCCUGAUUGGAUGCUGCAACAAAUAAAGCUCCACAUUUCUAUUCGGGCUACCUCUUUGUUACAAUUUUUUUAUCGCAACUGUUGACGAAAAUUACUGCAUCGUGAAUGAAAUUUAUUGCAUCGAGAAAAAAAAUGUUGUAUGGACAUUUAUCGACGCGCCCGUCUACAGCUCGCGGAUCGGGAGGCCUGGCCAAAUAAAUGUUGCUAAAUCGUUCUGCAGAGCAUCGUCCUUUUAGAAAAUAAAUUUAAGCCUUGAAUAGUCAGUGUCCGGGAACAGAACCCGCAUGCGUCUGCGGUUUUAAAAAGUCGGUCAGUAGAUGCUUUUAGAGGCAGCUUUGGGUGCCCUUCCACGCUUUAUAUCUCGAGGAGUGAGCAGCACAUGUAUCCUGCAAAGCUGUCUCAGUGUAUACCCGUGUAGCUCGCACGAAUUAGCAAACAUUAUAUAGAAUCCGAAUGAGAGUAGCGCUGUUGGAACGACGCGAUAGGCCCACGUAUCAGUAGAGGUUGGGUUGUAUGCAGAGUGUAGGCGUGUACAUUAACGCGUGGGGGGUUGUUCCUUUUUUCCCUUGCUUGCCAUUGCCAUCGCCAUCUGCAAGCCCAAGUCAACAGAGAGAGAGAUAGAGAGAGAGCAACAAUGGCGGAAGUUCUGGUGAGCGCAUCCACGGGGGCAAUGGGUUCCCUCCUGAGGAAGCUGGGAGCUAUGUUGACGGAUGAAUACAAGCUGCUCAAGAACGUCCGUGGGGACAUCAAGUUCCUCAAGGACGAGCUGGAGGUCAUGUGUGCGUUCCUCCUCAAGAUGUCAGAUGUGGAGGAUCCCGAUGAACCAACAAAGCUGCGUGUGACCGCGGUGCGGGAGAUGUCCUACAAGAUCGAGGACAACAUCGACAAGUUCAUGGUCCUCGUGGAGCACGAGUCCUCCUCUUCCGAUGCUCAUGGCCUCACCAAGCUCAUGGACAAAUGCAAGAACUUGCUGCCGGACAUCAAGACCCGCCGCAAGAUCGCUAAGGAGGUCAAAGACAUCAAGAAUGAAAUCAAGGAUGUCAGCGACAGAUUCUUAAGGUACUAUCAGAUCUUGUUUUACAGUUACAGUGUUAGUACUUAGUACCAUCAAAUUUGUGAUUAAGCAGAUGUUUCUGAUUUGUUGCCACUCAAGGUACAAGAUCGACGAGUCCUCCACCUCUGUGCCUGCAAAAGAGAAGGUGGAUCCUCGACUUCGUGCAGUCUACAAAGAUGUUACGGAGCUUGUCGGAAUUGAUGGACCAAAAGAUGAACUUGUCAAGUGGCUGAGUGAGAAAGAGGGCCAAUCACUUAAAUUUGUCUCUAUUGUUGGAUAUGGAGGGUUGGGCAAGACCACACUCGCCAACCAGAUCCGGGUCAACCUUGGGGCGACCUUUGACUGUGGGGCUUUUGUCUCGAUUUCACGCAAGCCUGACAUAAAGGCAAUAUUAAGAUCUAUAUUGUCACAAAUCACCAAGAAAGACAAUGCUUACUCUAGUUUAAAUGAUAUACAACUCAUCAUGGACAAGAUUCGAGAAUUCCUCCAAGACACAAGGUACAUAUAUGAGAUAUAUUUUACAAAGUAACAUUGCUUAAUUAGCUCAUGUAUAUAUAAUCCGUUGCCUAGAAUUUAGCUAAUGAAGAUUGCUUUGUGUGAUUUACAUUCGUGCUUAACUUUUAUGACUGCGUUUAAAAUUUGAAGUCAUUGUUUUUUGCAACUCAUGUCGGUCUGUUCACUAUAAGAUAUAGCUAAAAUCUAUAUGCCGAUUUCUGGCGUCACACAUUUUCUAAUUGAUUGCCACAGGUUUGUCAAACUUACUACUAUGUUCUAUUUAUUAAAUAAUUGUGACAUGGCGCCAGUAAAAACAGUAAAGUACAUGCAAUUCCUUUUUCUUAGAAAGGGAAAUAUAUUUUUGUCACGAAGAUACCAAUUACAUCCAGCCUUUGCACCUACAAGAUGUCGCCAAGACAUCCAUAAUGCACACAG